AGUCCUAGCAAUUUCUAAUCUACCCAGUUAGCCCCUCUUGAGUCCCAGGUCUUUACAUUGAUUACUGGGUUUAGAACAAGAAACUAAAGAAUCAGGAGAUUACAGGCUGUGCGGUGUAUAGAGCAGGGUUUGGGAGUCAGGGCUCCUGGAUUGCACUUGUGGCUCUGCUGCUGUGGCUUUGGAUGAGUCCUUUUGAUAAUAUUAACCUCUUAACCCCCAAUCACAAAAUGAAAUGCUCUGAGCUCCAGGGAGGGGGAACGGUGCUGGAACACGUCAGGCUGUUAGUAACCACCCAGCUCUCUUGGCUCCAUGUGCUGAUGUCCCCGCUCCUUGCUGCUCCCCACAGGUGUGUGAGGGGGGAAGCAUCUUCCCAGGCCCCAUGUGGGACAUUAGAGCCUCCUGGGAGCAUCACCCCCAUCCUGAACCCCGAUGUUCACAUAUAUGUACAUUCUGGGAACAGAAAAGACCCUUUGGAUGGAAACUCACAGCCACCUACAGUUGAUAUAGCUCCAGUCACCCUGUUUGCAGGAUUUAGGGGCUCACCCUGGUGUCCUAGCUAAGCCCCAGCUCUGAGAUUCCAUUCCACACCUUCUGCAUUCUCAGUUAAGGCAAGGAAUGAGGAUGACUCCUGUGGCCCAGGUCAGUGGUGGGCGAAAGGAUCUAUUUAUUGCCCACACUCAUCUCACAGGGAAGUGUGAGGGUUAUUUAAUGAAUCAUCUUGAGGGGUGGGGGUUUUGAAAUCGUUGGGUCAGGGAGAGUUCAUGGCCCAGCUACACUGAGAAACUCAACAGACUUUGCACCCAUUUUCCUGGUCCUUGGGAUGAUUGCUCAGCUGCGCCGGCUGCUAGGGAGGGAGUGCAGCUUCUUUGAAAUAGGUUUGUCAAACAGACUUUUCAGGACUCUUGAGUGGAGCUACAUCCCAUCCAUCUGCCGCUCCAGCCAAGCUGGUGAGAGCCACUAUGGAGAUGAGGCAUUGAAAAUGAUUUCGGAACAUGAAGCCUCCUAGACCAAGUGCCUGUAGUUCUGCUUACAUGUGUCCUGCUGUUCAUUCAAGCAUAGUUUAGUAGAUGGCUGCUCUUGCACAUAGGAAUAGACAAACUUCAGCCUUUGGGACCUACAUGCUCAGCUUUGACCCAAGACAGGGAUCCUUGUUAAUGCUGUGAGACUUUAUUGUGUACCAGGCAGACAGAAGGGGGCUGUAAAGAGAUUGAGAUGGUCUGGUGCAGUGCACUGACAAGCUGUUGCUCACGGUCAAAAAUGUUCACUAACUACAAUAACUGAACAU